rnacentral:rRNA from 1 species
UACGGAGGGUGCGAGCGUUAUCCGGAUUCACUGGGUUUAAAGGGUGCGUAGGUGGGAAUGUAAGUCAGUGGUGAAAUCUCCGUGCUUAACACGGAAACUGCCAUUGAUACUAUGUUUCUUGAAUUUUCUGGAGGUUAGCGGAAUAUGUCAUGUAGCGGUGAAAUGCUUAGAUAUGACAUAGAACACCGAUUGCGAAGGCAGCUAACUACAGGGAUAUUGACACUGAGGCACGAAAGCGUGGGGAUCAAAAGGG